rnacentral:rRNA from 1 species
GACGAACGCUGGCGGCGUGCUUAACACAUGCAAGUCGAGCGGUAAGGCCCUUUCGGGGGUACACGAGCGGCGAACGGGUGAGUAACACGUGGGUGACCUGCCCUCAGCUCUGGGAUAAGCCUGGGAAACCGGGUCUAAUACUGGAUAUGACUCCAUGACGCAUGUUGUGGGGUGGAAAGCCUUGUGCGGCUGAGGAUGGGCCCGCGGCCUAUCAGCUUGUUGGUGGGGUGANGGCCUACCAAGGCGACGACGGGUAGCCGGCCUGAGAGGGCGACCGGCCACACUGGGACUGAGACACGGCCCAGACUCCUACGGGAGGCAGCAGUGGGGAAUCUUGCGCAAUGGGCGAAAGCCUGACGCAGCAACGCCGCGUGGGUGAAGAAGGCCUGCGGGUUGU